rnacentral:sRNA from 1 species
UGCAGGUAAGCCGUCGGGGCUCCGUGGU